CAGUAAAAAUCCACUAUUGAGAAACAGCAAAAAUCAUAAUUUUAUCCCUCAAAUUGACCCCCCUGGAACUUUGCCAAAAUGCAAUUAGACUGAAAACAAAAUGCAUUUUGAAACAACCCUUAUAAAAGCAAUCUCGAGUACAAAGUUUGAGAGAAAUCUAUUUCUUGAUCCAAAGAGGUCAUGAGGUUCUUACAGAGACUGCCUCUUAAUCAUUAAUUGCACGACUUAUUUCACCAUUUGUUUUCUACUGUAUAAAUAAUUUUCAAACCAAUCUUUGGCCACUCCCCUGAUACUAUAAUGUUCCAAUUUCCUUCUUGUGAUCAAUCCUAUCAAACGCCUUGAUAAUAAAUUGCUUUGGUAAUUUUAUCAAUAAAGUGGAUUAAUGCAUGUUCUGUCGACCUCUUUUCCCUAAAUCCAUAUUGAUGUUUUGAUAUUUUUUUUUAAUAUUUUAUUUUUAACAAUAAUUUU